rnacentral:snRNA from 1 species
GCACUCACCUGGCAGAGGGGCACCAGAGUCACCAAAGUGGUUGUCCAAGGCUUAUGCAUGGCUCUCUGGGGUCCUGACCCCUGUGGCCUCCCCAGAGUGGGGAACUUGACGGCAUAGUUGUGUCCUGGGGUCUGCAUUUGCGUUCUCUCC